GGUGGAGUCAUGACUCAGUGGUAAAGCGUUUGCUAAGCCUGCAGAAGUUCACGGGUUCAAUCCCUGGCUUCUCCA
rnacentral:tRNA from 1 species